AUUUAGUUUUGCCAGCUAGAACCAAUACCAUACUUUAACUUACAAUGGCUUUGGGGUUUACUUCGAUAUGGCACCUCUGGCUGUGGAAUGGUAUGAUGCAAUAAGGUACAGGAAACAACUCCACUUCUGUGCCUGGAUUUCUGAGAUAACACAUGGAAGAUAACUUCUUGGGAGAGUUUCUCUUUCCUGUAGUAAAUUUUGGACAAAUAAGAAAUAAACUUCUAUUAUAUUAGGC